rnacentral:misc_RNA from 1 species
UCUUUUUAAAGAAAAAAAAUUUCAGUUGGGAAUUGAAGUUGAGAAAAUUGAAUUAAAUCCUACUUUUCCCCCACAAACUAACAGUAGAUAGGGACUCCCUACACCUACUUAGAGGUGUACAAUCAGUCAGUUUGGAAUCAAACAGACAAAAUCGAACCUUUCAUUUCAUGAAUCAAACCGAACUGUAGUAUUCAGGGAACUGAAAGGUUCGGUUUAAACGGUUUGAGCCUGCUUUAUUGGGCCUUCUAGUGGGGAGAAAAAGUCUUCUCGAGUAAUUUGUUAAGCUAGAGGGAUUUGUCUAACUUUCAGUAGUUGGACAUAAGAAAAACAAUUGUCCCUGUGGGAUUAAGGGUCACGCUAUCCAAUAUUCAGCACAAACUUGGAAUUCAAUUGUACCGACUGUAUUAUUUAUAACUUUAAAAUAAUUAAAUAAACCACAUUUAUCUCAUCCCGCAGCCAUCAUAAGCACCACAAAAUGAAAAAUAAGAGAUGCCAAGAAGAAACCCAUUAGAACAAUACAAGCAAAAGAAGAGAAACAACAACAUAGUUGCUUAAAUACCUCAAAGAGACAGAACUGCAACUAAUAAAAAGUGGAAAAGAGUCAUUGUUCUUUUGAUUCAACAAACAAAUCAUCAAGAACAGCGCAUGGACAAGCACUUCAACUCAAUCUAAACAAUUCUGAAUCCAACAUAACUAUAGCAGGUGGAUAUAAUACCUAC